rnacentral:lncRNA from 1 species
UUAGAGGAAGCCAUUACAGAUUCAGAAGAGACAGGAGGAAUGGACUUACCAGAGGAGACAUUCAGAGGUGCUGAAGCUUUGGUGCCAGAGGUUUCUCCAAUUCUGGCUUUCUUUGCCUUCCUUGCUUCCUCAGCUAUCUUCUUCUCAGAAAGGCCUCUUUUGUAUCUGACCAGAUCUUCUACAGAGUCCAGACAGUCUUC